CAUUCCAAAAUAUCCUACGAUCUCCACUGUCCAAAGCACACAUUCAUUUUCCUUCGUUCUUAUUCUUUCUCCACAGCUAUCAACGCUCUCAAACUCCAAAAUCUCUUCCUCUCCAAAUCCCCGAACCGAAAAAUCCUAGCGAAAGAAGCCCAGUAAAAAUCAAAAGCUUUUUCCCAGAUUUCGAGGAAGAAGAAUUAGAAAAAGGGGGAGAUAAUGGAUUCAGAUCAAGGAAAGUUGUUCAUUGGAGGGAUAUCAUGGGAAACCGACGAGGAUAAGCUAAGCGAAUACUUUGGUCAAUAUGGAGAACUUUUGCUGGCUGUUGUUAUGAGAGAUAAGGUUACGGGUAGACCUCGAGGGUUCGGUUUCGUCGUCUUCUCAGAUCCAUCCGUUCUCGAUACUGUUCUUCAAGAAAAACACACCAUCGAUGGUAGAACGGUUGAGGUGAAGAGGGCGUUAUCAAGAGAGGAGCAACAAACUUCGGCGAGAUCUGGAAAUGUUAAUCAGGGUAGAAAUUCUGGAAGUGGUGGGGGAAAUAUUAGGACCAAGAAGAUUUUUGUUGGAGGGUUGCCUCCGACCUUAACAGAAGAUGGAUUUCGGCAAUACUUUGAGACUUAUGGUAAUGUAACUGAUGUUGUAAUCAUGUAUGAUCAGAACACUCAGCGGCCUCGUGGAUUUGGUUUUAUUUCAUUCGACAGUGAAGAUGCAGUUGAUAGGGUUUUGCACAAGAGUUUUCAUGAUUUGGAUGGCAAGCAAGUUGAAGUGAAGCGGGCCCUUCCUAAAGAUGCUAAUCCCGGUGGGGUUAGCCGGACAAUGAGUGGUGGUGGUGGUGGAGGAGGUUACCAGGGGUAUGGUGCUUCUGGUGGGAAUGCGGGUUCUUAUGAUGGUCGUAUGGACUCCAACAGGUACAUGCAAGCCCAGAGUACUGGAGCUAGUUUUCCACCUUAUGGCUCAUCAGGAUAUGGUGCACCUGGUUAUGGUUAUGGUCCUGCUAAUAAUGCUGUUGCAUAUGGUGGUUAUGGGAAUUAUAGUGGUGCAGCUGCUGCUUAUGGUGGCCCUGCAGGUGCAGCGUAUGGGAAUCCCAAUGCUGGUUUUGCAAGUGGCCCUCCUGGUGGCUCAAGAAGUUCAUGGGGUACUCAAAAUCCUUCAGGUUAUGGUACCGUGGGUUAUGGAAAUCCUGCUCCUUGGGGUACCCCAAAUGCUGGUGCUGGUAGUGGUGGUACAGGUUCAGUGGCUACUGGUCAAUCUCCCACUGGAGCUGCAGGGUAUGGGAAUCAAAGUUAUGGAUACGGUGGGUAUGGAGGAAAUGAUGAAUCUUAUGGGAAUGCAGGCUAUGGUGCUCCAGGAGGUCGAACUGGUGGUACUCCAAAUAGUAAUUCUGGUUCAGGUGGGGGAGAUAUGCAAGGGAGUGCUGGCUACAUGGGAAGUGGAUAUGGCGAUGCAAGUGGAAAUUCAGGUUACCGAAAUGCAUCAUGGAGGUCAGAUUCAUCACAAGGUUCCGGAAAUUAUGGGGGUAUUCAGGCAAGUGGACAAGUCGGUUAUGGUGGUGGAUACGGUAGUGCUCAGGGUCGACAAGCACAACAGUGAUUCGAGCAUUUGAAAGACAACUUGAUCAUGCCUCUUUGUGACGGUUUCUUGUUCUGGGAGCAACAGGAGUGGCUCGAGUUGGAUCUCAAAUCUCCUUGGGACCGGAGGAUAGAUGCUCGAGAGUUCAAAGGUGAAGUCGAAGUGUCCGAUCAUGGCUGAAUCUGAGCUUCAUGGUGCAGGUUGAUCAGUUAGGUGUUGCUCAGCUGAAUUUUGAGUUAACAUGGACGAGCCCUUAGCCAUACAGGUGCUGCAACGCUGCAAAUUCUUGGGCUUCGAAGUCGAAAGUCCCAUUAUCAUCAUUUGGGUUGCUCUGGGGGUUUACUCAACAUUUGAAUUUGUGAACAAAAAAGCAUGUGGUACGUAUUGAGUCAAAGGUUUUAGAUCUCUACUGGAUCAAGGUUACAUUAUCCCAUGAUUAGGGUGUCGUAAGAGUGUAUCAUACAUAUUAUGAUGCCUGAUGAUUAGAGCAUAUCAGCAUAGGAUGCCCUUGAAAGUUCCCUUCAUAUUUGAGUUUUGCAAAACAUUGAAUCCUGGGGCCCUUCUUCUCCUUAUACCGUCCAUAGGCUAAGCUGUUUAAUGUUUUCAAAUAAUUUGAUUUUUUAUUAUGAAUGGUAGGUGAAAUGACCCAAUAUAUCAUCCUAGGCAGUU